rnacentral:rRNA from 1 species
AUUGAACGCUGGCGGCAGGCCUAACACAUGCAAGUCGAGCGAGCGGCGGACGGGUGAGUAAUGUAUGGGGACUGCCCGCUAGAGGGGGAUAACUACUGGAAACGGUAGCUAAUACCGCAUACUAUCGGAUAACCCAUAUGGGAUUAGCUAGUAGGUGAGGUAAUGGCUCCACUAGGCGACGAUCCCUAGCUGGUAUGAGAGGAUAAUCAGCCACACUGGGACUGUGACACGGCCCAGACUCCUACGGAGUCAGCAGUGGGGAAUAUUGCACAAUGGGCGCAAGCCUGAGGCAGCCAUGCCGCGUGGAUGAAGAAGGCCCUAGGGUUGUAAAGUACUUUCAUUCGGGAGGCGUUACCGACAGAAGAAGCACCGGCUAACUCCGUGCCAGCAGCCGCGGUAAUAC